CAUAACAGUGAAUUAUUAGUUAAUAAACCAUCUUCAAAAAAUUUUAACGGAAAAGUACUCUUCGAAACAUGCGCUCGCUUGGUGCUACCCUCCACGACCGACUUAGAAGAAGCUUAUCAAGCAAUUAAGAAAGCUGAAAAGGCUGAAACCAGAGAUAGCACAGUUAAACGGAGAAAGUCUUCUAUUUAUAAUUCAAAAAUCAUAAAAACUGAAACUAAUUCAAAGGAUUUAGAUAAUAGUGAGGGUACCAAAAGGCACUUGUGUAGCGAUACUAAAACUACAGAAUCUAUUAAAAAUAAAAAUAAUUCCAAUUGGAGAACUGAAAGUAGAAAAAGUUUUAAGGCUAAAGAUUUUAGUGACAGCACAUCUGAUAAUGAACUUAAUUCCGAAGAAAAGAAAAACGUUCAAGAAUUUUUUACGAUACCAAAGAAGGAUCUUGAAAUGAUGGAGACCAUUUACAAAAGGGCUUC